AACGCACCUUGCGCUCCUUGGUAUUCCGAGGAGCAUGCCUGUUUGAGUGUCAUUAAUAUAUCAACUUCUUCAGCUUUUGUGCUUGUUGAGUGUUGGAUGUGGGGGUUUUUUUGCUGGCCUUUUCUGAAGGUCCAGCUCCCCUAAAAUGCAUUAGCGGAACAAUUUGUUGACUGUUCAUUGGUGUGAUAAUUAUCUGCGCUAUUGAACUGUGAGGCAAGUUCAGCUUCUAAUGGUCCAUUGACUUGGACAAUUUUAUUUAUUUAAUGUGACCUCAAAUCAGGUAGGACUACCCGCUGAACUUAA
rnacentral:misc_RNA from 1 species